rnacentral:ncRNA from 2 species
UCAAGUUAAAUAGUAUUUGUUUAUAUAAUACCAAAAUAUGGUUGGUUAGUUUCUACCUAGGACCGUUAAUCCUAGACUAUAAGCAUAAAGUAUUCUAGA